GGACCUUUAGCUCAGUUGGUUAGAGCAAGCGGCUCAUAACMGCACGGGCGCUGGUUCGAGUCGAGCAAGGUCCA
rnacentral:tRNA from 1 species